AUUGAACGCUGGCGGCAGGCCUAACACAUGCAAGUCGAGCGGAUGAGUGGAGCUUGCUCCAUGAUUCAGCGGCGGACGGGUGAGUAAUGCCUAGGAAUCUGCCUGGUAGUGGGGGACAACGUUUCGAAAGGAACGCUAAUACCGCAUACGUCCUACGGGAGAAAGUGGGGGAGUCUUCGGACCUCACGCUAUCAGAUGAGCCUAGGUCGGGAUUAGCUAGUUGGUGAGGUAAAGGCUCACCAAGGCGACGAUCCGUAACUGGUCUGAGAGGAUGAUCAGUCACACUGGAACUGAGACACGGUCCAGACUCCUACGGGAGGCAGCAGUGGGGAAUAUUGGACAAUGGGCGAAAGCCUGAUCCAGCCAUGCCGCGUGUGUGAAGAAGGUCUUCGGAUUGUAAAGCACUUUAAGUUGGGAGGAAGGGCAGUAAGUUAAUACCUUGCUGUUUUGACGUUACCAACAGAAUAAGCACCGGCUAACUUCG
rnacentral:rRNA from 1 species